CGUGGUUUAAUUAAAUAAUAAACAAGUUUUAUAUAUAUAGCACAAUAUCUUCUAAAAAUCAGCUUACUUUAGAACAAUGAAGGUGCUACUUUUAAUUAUUCUGAUUUCUGUUGGUGUAUAAAAGAACAGGUAAAAAUUUUAGUGGACAUCGUCAGUUGUUUAGGUAGAGUCAUAAAAUGGAAAAGAUAAAGGUUUUGCUGUUGGUCUACUUGCUCUAUAUUACAGUUAUUCCGAUCGUUAUCAAUGGUUAUAGAGAGUGUACGGAAAAAGAAAUAAAUGGAAUUUGUAGACCGUAUUGCUUACUGACUAGCUUACGGAUUUGCAGGAAAGUAGAUCCGCCUUGUCUUUGUCCUCCCAAAACUCGUUUAUAAUGGAAAAAUAGAAAGCAAUGAAGAAAAAAUACUUGUUGCAAUCGGCAUUUUGUAUCGAUUAAUACUGAAUAAAUAUUAUUCUAAGGUAAAA